rnacentral:rRNA from 1 species
GACGAACGCUGGCGGCGUGCUUAACACAUGCAAGUCGAACGGAAAGGCCCUGCUUUUGUGGGGUGCUCGAGUGGCGAACGGGUGAGUAACACGUGAGUAACCUGCCCUUGACUUUGGGAUACUUCAGGGAACUGGGGCUAAUACCGGAUAGGAGCUCCUUCCUCAUGGGGGGGGGUGGGAAGUUUCGGGGGUUGGGGUUGGGCUCGCGGGUUAUCGGCUUGUUGGUGGGGUAGGGGCUUACCAAGGCUUUGACGGGUAGCCGGCCUGAGGGGGUGACCGGCCACAUGGGGACUGAGACACGGCCCAGCCGCGUAGGGGGGACAGAAGGGGGAAAUAUGGCAAAAGGGGGGGAAGCGUGAGGCAGAAACCCCGGGGGGGGGAUGCGGGCCUUGGGGUGUAAAACCUGUUUCGCCGGUGAGGAAGGGUGGGGGCGGGAAAGGUGAAAAGAAGCCCCGGCAACCUACGUG